GACGAACGCUGGCGGCGUGCUUAACACAUGCAAGUCGAACGGAAAGGCCCUGCUUUUGUGGGGUGCUCGAGUGGCGAACGGGUGAGUAACACGUGAGUAACCUGCCCUUGACUUUGGGAUAACUUCAGGAAACUGGGGCUAAUACCGGAUAGGAGCUCCCGCUGCAUGGUGGGGGUUGGAAAGUUUCGGCGGUUGGGGAUGGACUCGCGGCUUAAGAGCUUGUUGGUGGGGUAGUGGCUUACCAAGGCUUUGACGGGUAGCCGGCCUGGGAGGGUGACCGGCGACAUUGGGACUGAGAUACGGCCCAGAGUCGUACGGGAGACAGCAGUGGGGAAUAUUGCACAAUGGGAGGAAGCCUGAUGCAGAGACGCCGCGUGCGGGAUGACGGCCUUCGGGUUGUAAACCGCUUUCGCCUGUGACGAAGCGUGAGUGACGGUAAUGGGUAAAGAAGCACCGGCUAACUACGUG
rnacentral:rRNA from 1 species